UACAAUAGUCGGAGCUAAAGGAGACAUGGACGCCUUUUGCGCUUUGACAGACGAUAUAAUUACUCAAAUACUGAACUAUCCCUUUCCCAAACGGAAAGAACUUGAAGAUUUGAGAAAGACACAAGAACCUAACCAACAAAGGCUCGAGGUCUUGCGAGAAGAGGAACAAACAUGGUCAGAAGCAAGAUCGCUUUUGGAAAAAGUUUUGAAACGAAAAUUUUAUAAGUUUGUUGCCGAGAUAAAACUGCCAAGGCUCGCAAAGUUUCAAAGCAUACUUGAAAGAACGAUUGCUGAAUCCGGUGUUCAACAGAAUGACAUUGUUUGUCAGGUAGUUGACAAUAUUCAUUUGUUUUAAAGUAAAACCAUGUCAGUGUUAACACGAUUUUGUUUUAUGCCAUGACUCAUCUACUUAAUGGGUUUUCAAAAUAAAAGUUUUAUUUUUUAUAAUUUUAUGCACAGUAUAUGUUUCUUUUAAACAAAUUGAACUAUUCAACAUUAUACGUGCCAUACAACUGGUGACCAUACUUUUAUUCAGUUUGUGUUGCUUAGUUUUGCAACAUCGCAAUAAAGCAUAUUCGUUUCUUUUGAGAGAAAUCGUUCAAAACAUAUAACUAAUAAAUACAUCCACUGAAAAACAAACGUGUAAAAGUUUUCGUUCGUGUUCGUAUAAAUGUCAACAUCAGUUUUGGUUUUAUUGUUUUUAGUUCGUAGAGCUAGAUUAUGCACCAAAGGUGUGUAAAACAGUUGCUUUCUAUAGCAAACACAGGCCGGAUUUUGCUACAGUUGAACAGGUAAGAGGUUCUCAGUCGUAUUUAAAAGAGACAAUUGUUCGCGUGUUUUGCAAGGAAGACAGGCACUUCCAUCUACUAAAGGAGAAGCUCGACUUACUUACAGAUAUGAUGAAUACUCUCCAGUUGAGCUUUGCUGAUACGGCACUUGAACAACAGUAACCGUACAAGACACGUUCAGACUGUGGAUACAAAACACAAUUAACAAAGACAUACAGCUUGUAUACAUUCUUUAUCACUGCAAUAUUUUCUGAAUAUAUUUAUAUAAAUUUAACAGCGGAGAAUAGCAUUCCGGUAUUCUAAAAUAUUGAGUGUUCGUCAUUUGUCAUAGCUCUUAUAAAAUAUUCUAAUCACAUCGGUGUUUACAUGUGUUUAUUAUGGUCAAAUUGUUGAUGUGGUACUGCUUGUAGGUUUAAUAGUUUCAUUUUUUUUGUUAUUGCGAUUUUGUGCUAUAUAUUUUUAAUUGUAUAUGAACGUCCUGAAACUAAGAAAAUAUUCAUUUAUUCAUGCGUCAUAGUUAAUUGUUCUUUGAAAUAUAAAACAUUACAUCCAUAUAUUGACAUUAACUUUUGCUAUUCAGAGU